rnacentral:rRNA from 15 species
UGCAAAUCCCCAAAUGCGGAGGAAAAGAAAAUAACAAUGAUUUCCCUAGUAACGGCGAGUGAACAGGAAAGAGCUCAAAGUUGGAACCUGUUUGGUUUAGCCAAACCGGAUUGUAAACUGUAGAAGUGUUUUCCUGACACGCCUGACGAAAAAGUCCAUUGGAACAUGGUGACAUAGAGGGUGAGAGCCCCGUAUUUUGUCAGAGCUGUUGUCUCUUGUGAUACACUUUCAAAGAGUCAGGUUGUUUGGGAAUGCAGCCUAAAUUGGGUGGUAAAUCUCACCUAAAGCUAAAUAUUGGCAAAAGACCGAUAGCGAACAAGUACCGUGAGGGAAAGAUGAAAAGAACUUUGAAAAGAGAGUUAAACAGUAUGUGAAAUUGUUAAAAGGGAACCGUUUGGAGCCAGACUGGCUUGAUUGUAAUCAAUCUAGAUCUCGAUCUGGAUGCACUUGCAGUCUAUGCCUGCCAACGACAAUUCAUUCUGGAGGAAAAAACUAAGUGGAAUGUGGCCCCUCGGGGUGUUAUAGACUCUUAGAAAAUACUCUGGUUUGGAUUGAGGAACGCAGUGAAUGCUAUUUGGCGAAGAUGCUGGGUGCUUUUAUUUUUGUUGUCUAGAAUUUCUGCUUCGGGUGGUGCUAGAUACCACGAGUAAAACUCGCCUAGUAUACUUUUUAUUCACUUAGGUUGUUGGCUUAAUGACUCUAAAUGACCCGUCUUGACAACCCGGACACCA